rnacentral:rRNA from 1 species
UACGUAGGGUGCAAGCGUUGUCCGGAUUUAUUGGGCGUAAAGAGCUCGUAGGCGGUGUGUCGCGUCGGCCGUGAAAACCUGGGGCUCAACUCUGGGCGUGCGGUCGAUACGGGCAUCACUGGAGUUCGGCAGGGGAGACUGGAAUUCCUGGUGUAGCGGUGAAAUGCGCAGAUAUCAGGAGGAACACCGGUGGCGAAGGCGGCGACCUGGGUCGAUACUGACGCUGAGGUGCGAAAGCGUGGGGAGCAAACAGG